UACAGAGGGGGCAAGCGUUAUUCGGAAUUAUUGGGCGUAAAGGGCGCGUAGGCGGCCUGGCAAGUGGAAGGUGAAAUCCCUCGGCUUAACCGAGGAACUGCCCUCCAAACUGCUUGGCUUGAGUCCGGGAGAGGUGAGUGGAAUUCCCAGUGUAGCGGUGAAAUGCGUAGAUAGUUGGGAGAACACCGGUGGCGAAGGCGGGUCUCUGGGCCGAUGAUUGAC
rnacentral:rRNA from 1 species